UCACAUGAUUAAUUUAAUCUCUGUUAUUGCUGUCAUGAUUUAUCUUUUGUUCAUUCGGAUUAAAUCUCAUAGUAAUCUGCUCAUAUUUCCAACGGGUGAAAUCCUCCGUGGGAUUAUUGCAUUCUUCCUGCCUGUCCCUUCGCUCGUUCGCUACUCCGUUUCAGUGAGAAUAAACAACUCCCACGCGCGCAUCCGUACACCCGCUGCCCCGGCGUCCCCCUCCCCGGCCCGAUGGCCAACCCGCGCCUCCUCCUCCCCAGGAUCCUCUGCGUCGCCGCCGUCGCCGCCUUCUACGCCUGCCUCCCGGCGCCCGUCUCCGCCAUCCGUCUUGUUCAGGAAGGACAUUGGUUUUGCUGCACCCAUCAUCUGCAGGAGUACUGUUCAAGGCCGGCAUUUGAUAUCAGAUGAUAAUGGUUAUGUAUGUUCUGCUCUUUCGAUCGAUCCAUGGUCUCGCUGCUGCCCACGAACAGGAGGACGCUUCUCCUGUCAGGGCUGCAACCUUGAUUCGCAGUGCUGCAAUUCUUACGAGUAUUGUGUUUCUUGCUGCUUGAAUCCUUCUAGGACCAAGGAAGCAGAUGUGCUGAAGUUGAAGGUAGCUAAGCCAGUUACUGCUGGAACUUACACCAAUAUCUUCGAUUUCUGCAUGGGAAGAUGCCGCCAUAGUUCUGCAAGUGUGGUCCAUGAAAAUGCAUAUUUGAGUGAUUUCCAUCAUUGCUUUCUGGUGCAGCAAAAUUCAUCGGCAGGAUCAACUGAAUCUAAUUUUGGAUCAAGGUUGGAUGGCAUUAACGUCAUUUUGGGAAGGCAGGGGGAAUCGUGUAGUUCUGCAUGCAGAGCAAAAGGACAAUCAUGUGUUCCAAGCAGGCUUGCUGAGUUGAACAAAUGUCAGAUGGCUUUAAAGCAUGCUGUCGUUCUAAUCAGCUGUUUUGCUCCGUCCCAUAUCCGGUUACUCAAUCUGAAUAUGGAAGCAAUCUCUUUGCUGGAGAAGUUUCAGAUAUCUACACGCUUCCAAGUUCUGAAUUAUCAACUACUGCCUACUUGAUUAAGUGAAACAAUUCUAGCAGAAGUUUGUAAAUGACAAAGCAAAACACUUAAUUGGAGAAGAGACAGGAUCGUGGUGCAAUCUAUAUAGUGGAGUGAUGGAAUUUGCAGAAAUAUAUGAGAUGCAAAAAUGGUUGCUUUCCCAGUCUUGGGCCCGAUCAACCUGCCGAAGUUGUAGACGAAGCUCCAAAAAAUUUGAAUCCUGGAGCGUGCUUGUACAUGCAGAUGGAUGACCGCCUCACCUGUGAUGGCUCACAUCGACAUACCCGAAGGCUCUGUCCUUGUGCAUGAAACGGUGGAGAAAAUAGUGGCAGUCAUAAGAGAGUCACUUGCCAGGAAACAAGCGGAGGUAAUCCGCCGAAAGCUGACGGCUCAAAAUGGCAUGGCCAUUUCUGCACCGAGUUUCCAAAUGGCAUAUCGCCGAUGAAAAGAGAACAUAUUUUAGCUUUGCAGUUUAUCUUUUGCAUCUCUGGAUGCAAUCACCCAUGUCCAGAGCAAGCAGCUUCUCAAACACUUAUCUUUAUAGUAAUAUAUAUGGUCACAAAUUUGCAUGCA